rnacentral:rRNA from 1 species
UGGGGAAUUUUGGACAAUGGGCGCAAGCCUGAUCCAGCCAUGCCGCGUGCGGGAAGAAGGCCUUCGGGUUGUAAACCGCUUUUGUCAGGGAAGAAAUCUUCUGAGUUAAUACCUCGGGAGGAUGACGGUACCUGAAGAAUAAGCACCGGCUAACUACGUGCCAGCAGCCGCGGUAAUACGUAGGGUGCAAGCGUUAAUCGGAAUUACUGGGCGUAAAGCGUGCGCAGGCGGUUUUGUAAGACAGAGGUGAAAUCCCCGGGCUCAACCUGGGAACUGCCUUUGUGACUGCAAGGCUUGAGUGCGGCAGAGGGGGAUGGAAUUCCGCGUGUAGCAGUGAAAUGCGUAGAUAUGCGGAGGAACACCGAUGGCGAAGGCAAUCCCCUGGGCCUGCACUGACGCUCAUGCACGAAAGCGUGGGGAGCAAACCAGGAUUAGAUAGCCCUGGUAGUCCACGCCCUAAACGAUGUCAACUGGUUGUUGGGAAGGUUCCUUCUCAGUAACGUAGCUAACGCGUGAAGUUGACCG